UCUCUGAAGACUGAGACCCUUUUUCUCAGUCAUGACUUGCCCCUCUCCUGGACCCACAGUACCUACUCAGGCAAACUCUGUGGUUUCUGUGGGAACUAUGAUGGGGACAGCAGCAAUGACAACCUGAAGUCAGAUGGCAUGAUGGCGUACGAUUCGGAGGAGUUGGGGCAGAGCUGGCAAGUGGAAAAGGAAGAGGACGAGGAGUGUCUAAAGAAGAAGAUUCCCCCAUCUUGUGACCCUGCUUUGGUGACCACUAUGUUGGGACCCGAGUUAUGUGGACAGCUUGUCAACCCAAGUGGACCCUUUGAGUAUGGAGGAAGGCAGAUGGGUUGCGAGGGUUUGCUAGGUACUGGCAUGUCUCUGAGGUGGAGCAUAGAGGCUCUGCCCUCUCCUGCCGCCUGAUUGAGCCUUUCUCCCCAGAGCGUGCCUGCUUCACCUGAAGGCCUCAUCCUUCCUGGAUAACUGUGUGACUGACAUGUGUAGCUUCCAGGGUCUCCAGCAGAAGCUCUGUGCUCACAUGUCGGCCAUGACGGCCACCUGCCAGGAUGCUGGCUAUCCUGUGAAGGCCUGGAGGGGACCCGAGAUGUGCCCUUUGGUGUGCCCUAAAAAUAGCAGGUACUCCCUCUGUGCCAACCCAUGCCCGGACACCUGCCAUCCUGGAUCUGCUACCCAGACCUGCUCAGACGAUUGUGUGGAAGCCUGUGAGUGUAGCCCUGGCUUCAUCCUCAGUGGUUUUGAGUGCGUCCCUGCAUCCGAGUGCGGGUGCAUCAGCCUCCAGGGGCGCUACUUCAAGGUACAGGAGCAGUGGUUUAAUCCAGACUGCAAGGAGAUCUGCAUUUGUGAAAGCCACAACAAUAUUCGCUGCAAGCCCUGGAAGUGUAAGGCUCAGGAAACCUGUGGACACAAGAAUGGCAUAUUAGGCUGUCAUGCCCAAGGUACAGCCACCUGCAUCGCCUCUGGUGACCCCCACUACCUGACCUUCGACGGAGCUCUGCACCAUUUUAUGGGCACCUGCACUUAUGUACUGACCCAGCCUUGCUGGCCCAAAUCUCAAGACAACAACUUUGUCGUGAGUGCCACCAAUGAGAUACGUGGUGGCAACAUGGAAGUCUCCUAUGUCAAAGCUGUCCAUGUGCAAGUCUUUGACCUCAAAAUCUCCCUGUUCAAAGGUCAAAAGGUCAUGGUAUGUGUCCUCUAUUGCCUCC
rnacentral:lncRNA from 1 species